rnacentral:rRNA from 1 species
UCUUGGCUAUAAAUAAAUAUAGAUUUACCAGAGUACUAUGAAUCAAUUUAAUAAAAUUUAAAACUCAAAGGGCUUGGCGGUGUUUUAGACCUCUCAGGGGAACCUGUCUCAUAAUCGACAAUCCACGUUAAACCUAACCUUUGUUUGCAGUUCAGUUUGUAUACCGUCGUCGUCAGGUAACUUUUAAAAAGUAAGAAGUUGGCAAAAAAAUUAUUUAAAUUUAAACGUCAGAUCAAGGUGCAGCUUAUACAGGGGUGAGGAUGGGUUACAAUUAAAAUUUAUAAUUACGAAUAGGAUAACGAAAUGUUUUUCCUAGUGAAGGAGGACUUGAAAGUAAAGUAAACUAUACAAACAGUUUGAAUAAGGCUCUGAAACGUGC